rnacentral:rRNA from 1 species
GGCUCAGGAUGAACGCUGGCGGCGUGCUUAACACAUGCAAGUCGAACGGUGAAGCCCAGCUUGCUGGGUGGAUCAGUGGCGAACGGGUGAGUAACACGUGAGCAACCUGCCCCUGACUCUGGGAUAAGCGCUGGAAACGGCGUCUAAUACUGGAUAUGUGACGUGACCGCAUGGUCUGCGUUUGGAAAGAUUUUUCGGUUGGGGAUGGGCUCGCGGCCUAUCAGCUUGUUGGUGAGGUAAUGGCUCACCAAGGCGUCGACGGGUAGCCGGCCUGAGAGGGUGACCGGCCACACUGGGACUGAGACACGGCCCAGACUCCUACGGGAGGCAGCAGUGGGGAAUAUUGCACAAUGGGCGCAAGCCUGAUGCAGCAACGCCGCGUGAGGGAUGACGGCCUUCGGGUUGUAAACCUCUUUUAGCAGGGAAGAAGCGAAAGUGACGGUACCUGCAGAAAAAGCGCCGGCUAACUACGUGCCAGCAGCCGCGGUAAUACGUAGGGCGCAAGCGUUAUCCGGAAUUAUUGGGCGUAAAGAGCUCGUAGGCGGUUUGUCGCGUCUGCUGUGAAAUCCGGAGGCUCAACCUCCGGCCUGCAGUGGGUACGGGCAGACUAGAGUGCGGUAGGGGAGAUUGGAAUUCCUGGUGUAGCGGUGGAAUGCGCAGAUAUCAGGAGGAACACCGAUGGCGAAGGCAGAUCUCUGGGCCGUAACUGACGCUGAGGAGCGAAAGGGUGGGGAGCAAACAGGCUUAGAUACCCUGGUAGUCCACCCCGUAAACGUUGGGAACUAGUUGUGGGGUCCAUUCCACGGAUUCCGUGACGCAGCUAACGCAUUAA